rnacentral:lncRNA from 10 species
AAUGACGUCCUCACCUCACUCCCGCCAUCACUUCAUGGGGAUUCACUACAACUUAGGGGGAAACGCAGACCUGAUUUGUGGAUGGGUUGCUUGGUAUACUGGUGCAGGCCUCACUACAGCCUCACAUAGGAACAGCCUGAAAGACAGAGGUGGAGCAGAGCCCUGGGCAGGGUAUCUGGUCAGCUCUGUGUGGGGGGGAAAACAAGUUGCCUGUGCUGAGGAUAACAGGGUCCUAGGCAGGCACAAACGGCUGGUCAGGAUCCUGGAGGGAACAAGGUCUAGGUGAGAGGCAGACAGAUGGGCCUUGGGAACAGGCAUGGGGUACAGGCCUUUGUUUUGCAAACCAAUGCUCACCAUGGGGCACUAAAAACCAAGCACUGGGAUAAGUCGACCAACAGAUAUUGGCUAGCCUCUGUCCUCACCAGCCCCAGUGUCCACACAGCAGACCUCUGGAUAGGGUGACCAUCGUGGCCAAGAGCCUCUCAGCAGCAUGAUCCAGUCAUGACCACUGACGAUUAUCUACCGGGAAUGAACAGACAGCAACACUGGGCUUCCAUCUGGUGCCAUGCCUUGGGGCUGUCAACCAGCCACCUAGUGGUAAGCUGAUUAUAUCAGAACACCCUCUCCUGGAAAGGGCAGUGAUUUGUCUCAUCUGGGAUCCACCCACAUCCCAGGUGUGGGUUUGCCUUUCCUUGUGCAGUACCGUGCCGGCACUAACAUCUCAGAGAUUUACCAACACAGGAUUCCAUAUAACAUCAGCUUGGAGCACACGCAGGGGAUGCAUGUGAGCCAGGUGACCGCGGGGUCCACUGGAUCAUCUAACGCAACACCACUUAGGAGACGCUGCCCUGACCUUAAAGGCAGAGAUAAAAUGCCGGCUUGGUGAUACACUUCAUGGGGUUGGGGUGCCAUAUUUCAAGAUGAACCAACGGCCAAUCGAUGGUACUGGGUGCCCAAUCAGUAAAAUGUAUGGAUGGAGGAAAUGGUGAAAGAAGAAGGGGCCUGUCUCACCAUCGCUCCAGAAACCCAGUAUGAACUCUGCGCUCAUCUUCCCCAAUUUUAGGUCUGGCAAAUCUAGAGGCCCUGGUUCAAACAGGUGGAGAAGGCUUCUACCACACAACACCAAAGCCAUGGUGGCCACCUGGUCACUUGGGGCUGCUCGUGCCAGAAGGCCAGCAGGCAUCACAAAGAGUUUCCAUGCCAGCCAGAUCAUCUGACCCUCAUUACUGUGAAGGGCAGAGCUGCCACUGCAUAAUUCUGGGAAUCAGGGGCUUCACUGGGCCUUUCUCCAUGCUCCUAUGAACACGCUCCUGUGCGCAGUCUUCACUGCGACUGGAUUACCACGGCAGCCAGGGUUGGAAAAAGAACGGCAACAAGUAGGGACUUGGGAUGCGCAGGGCUGAGGGUCUGGGUCAUCCCACCAGGCCAGCAACCAGUGCAGCAGAAGGCUGGCCACAGGACAGGGGCUCUAGAAAGGGUGGUGGGGACGGGAUGAUGAACAUCAGCUCAGGGGCUCUAGAAAGGGUGGGGGGAACGGGAUGAUGAACACCAGCUCUGCUUGGACCAGCACAGCAGACGGAGCUCCGCUCUGUCUCCCAGAGACCAUGACCAGCACCAUCCUAAAGAAUGAGCACAGUGAACCCAAUGUGAAGUGUGGGCAGAACAGGAAGGAGCCUGGUGCUCCAGCAGGUUCUCCUCUGAUGGUGUCAGACGUCCCUUCAGCCCUAACAGCUUGGGUGCAGCACUCGUGGCACACUCAGGGAGCUGGAAGCAUCUGAGAAUUGACACCCCAGGUGCAGCCCUCAGCCUAAUGCCGUGCGGAGGGUGCAGAGGCAAACACGUUGCAGCUCCCUUUCCAGCAGGGAUAGCUCUGAGGUGCGACCUACGCUGCUGCCAGAAGUCCCUUGGGAGAUGACCCACACUGACCCACCAGGACUUGGCUUGGGACGCAGGAUUUCUGGUCCUUCUCUUCCCACCCAUUUCCCCAUGCCCCUCUGCUGGUUUCUACUGGGAACAUAACUUAAGAAAUAAAUUUCACAUGAGUGCU